GAUGAAGAACGCAGCGAAAUGCGAUAAGUAAUGUGAAUUGCAGAAUUCAGUGAAUCAUCGAAUCUUUGAACGCACAUUGCGCCCCUUGGUAUUCCGGGGGGCAUGCCUGUUCGAGCGUCAUAUAACACUCAGAUCACUAUUUAAUCAUGGUGGACUGGCCUUGAGAUGUGGAAACCGUGAGGUUUCCUCCUCUAAUGUUGCACGCUUGCGAUCCCUGCGAUCCCCAGACAUGAUAAUGACUUUGUUUGGUGGCGUUGUCAGUGGAAUCGUCGUUAAACCUCCCAAAGUUUGACCUCGGAUCAGGUAAGGAUACCCGCUGAACUUAAGCAUAUCAAUAAGCGGAGGA
rnacentral:misc_RNA from 1 species